rnacentral:lncRNA from 1 species
UUAGAGAAAAAUUUCAAAAAAACGCAUAAAACAAACUUUUAAUGUUUCAUUGAGGUUCAGUGAUUUUUUUUUAUUCCUUCUAAACUUUUGAAAUUAUUUUAAUUUUUCCGAGCGGGAGAUGAUUUGAGCUUAGUCAUCAAAGCUUGAUUUAAGUCUGGCUGGGUCAUGGGGUAUUUGACAUUUAUUAUUUGGAGUUGGUUCUAUAUCAUUCCUGGGUCGGUGAGCAGUUUGGCUGGCUUUUUGUCAUUGAUUUCUGCUGUUGAUUGCUGACACUACUCUGCUAAUACUUCAUUUCUGCUUUGAUUUCUUCCAAUUCCAGGGACUUAUCCUUGAUCUAAGCAUGUAGAAAUAGUUCAUAGGUGAUUUUAUUGAAGAAGAAAUGGAGAUAUUGUUUUCC